UACGUAGGGGGCAAGCGUUGUCCGGAAUCAUUGGGCGUAAAGCGUGUGUAGGCGGAUCGGUAAGUACCUUGUGAAAUCCCACAGCUUAACUGUGGAACUGCUUGGUAUACUGCCAGUCUUGAGCCAGCUAGGGGCUACCGGAACAAAUGGUGGAGCGGUGAAAUGCGUAGAUAUCAUUUGGAACGCCAAUGGUGAAAACAGGUAGCUGGGGCUGUGCUGACGCUGAGACACGAAAGCCAGGGGAGCGAACGGG
rnacentral:rRNA from 1 species